GAUCAAGGAGAUGACGUAUUCUACUGUGAAUAUGAAUAUGACAUACACUGGCAUAAUUUUAAGCGUCUGGCAGACAUC
rfam:Oryza rufipogon genomic scaffold, chr06